rnacentral:snRNA from 1 species
UUGCUUUGGCAGCAGAUAUACUAAAAUUGGAACCACACAGAGAAAAUUAGCAUGACCCCUGUGCAAGGAUGACAGGCACAUUUGUGAAGCGCUCCACAUUAAA